AGCAGCCGCGGUAAUUCCAGCUCCAAUAGCGUAUAUUAAAGUUGUUGCAGUUAAAAAGCUCGUAGUUGAAUUUCGGGAUUAAUAUGUUGGUCGUGCCUUGGUACGUACUGGCAUUAUUGGUUCCUACCUUCUGAAGAACCUCGAUGUCAUUAAUUUGGUGUCUUGGGGAAUCAGGACUGUUACUUUGAAAAAAUUAGAGUGUUUAAAGCAGGCUCGCGCUUGAAUACAUUAGCAUGGAAUAAUGAAAUAGGACGUUUGAUUCUAUUUUGUUGGUUUCUAGGAUUGACGUAAUGAUUAAUAGGGAUAGUUGGGGGCAUUAGUAUUCAAUUGUCAGAGGUGAAAUUCUUGGAUUUAUUGAAGACUAACUACUGCGAAAGCAUUUGCCAAGGAUGUUUUCAUUAAUCAAGAACGAAAGUUAGGGGAUCGAAGACGAUCAGAUACCGUCGUAGUCUUAACCAUAAACUAUGCCGACUAGGGAUCGGAUGAUGUUAAUUUUUUAAUGACUCAUUCGGCGCCUUACG
rnacentral:rRNA from 1 species